rnacentral:rRNA from 1 species
AUUGAACGCUGGCGGCAUGCUUUACACAUGCAAGUCGAACGGUAACAGGGAGCUUGCUCCGCUGACGAGUGGCGAACGGGUGAGUAAUGCAUCGGAACGUACCCAGUCGUGGGGGAUAACGUAGCGAAAGUUACGCUAAUACCGCAUACGUCCUGAGGGGAGAAAGCGGGGGGACCGUAAGGCCUCGCGCGAUUGGAGCGGCCGAUGUCGGAUUAGCUAGUUGGUAGGGUAAAGGCCUACCAAGGCGACGAUCCGUAGCGGGUCUGAGAGGAUGAUCCGCCACACUGGGACUGAGACACGGCCCAGACUCCUACGGAGGCAGCAGUGGGGAAUUUUGGACAAUGGGCGAAAGCCUGAUCCAGCCAUGCCGCGUGAGUGAAGAAGGCC